rnacentral:rRNA from 1 species
UUUGUACACACCGCCCGUCGCUACUACCGAUUGAAUGGCUAAGUGAGGCUUUCGGACUGCCUUAGGGAGGGUGGCAACGACCACCUUGAGCCGGAAAGUUCGUCAAACUCGGUCAUUUAGAGG